UUCGUACGUUGGAUUAUUCAUAAGCUGAGGUGGAUUCCACAUGUCAAGAUUUUUUUAGGACAUAUGACAAGUUAUAUGAAUAAUAUAUGCAAAGUUAAACACAACCCAAGAAGGACCCUUGAGCCAAAUCAAAGUGAAAGCCCUCCAAAAUAAUAUUUUUAAGAUACGUUUUCGGGUGAUUUGAUUUCGGGAGGUCAUAACUCUAUCAACGUUUGGGAAUUUAGGAAAACUCCCAGAAUGAAAGUUUUAGAUAAUUGAAAUAGCUUUUCAACCAUAGGUCGUGGGUAUGCAUGUGACAUCGGGAUAAGGAGAUAUAGACAUUUUAAGGCAGAAAGGUCGAGCUGAACAGUGAAUUCGGCCCAACCCAAUUCCAACUGGGCUCAGGCCCAUUACCUAUGAUAUUUAAUGAAAAUUUUCAGCUUUCUCCUUCAUUUUUCAGACCAAAAUUUCCAGAAUUUUUAGAGAUAGAAAGAGAGAGGAGAGAUAGAGAGAGAAACCAAAUUUCUACCACAAUCUAAGCCCCGAAUCGCGAAGCUCAUGAAGAGAAAAGUGUUGUACGUCGCGUUGCCUUCAAUUUGAGCUAAAAAUCAGCCAAGAAGGAGAGGGUGGAAGUGGUUGCUGCAUACUUAAGGUAAGAUUAAGGUCCAUUUUUCAUUGUUAACAAGUUUAUUUAGAUUUUUAACAGAUUAGAACGGAGAAAAUAGCAUUAUAAACUCGUUUGUUGUUUUGUUGGGAUUUAUGGAUUAAGGGGCUGUUUUAAGUGGAUUAAAUGGAUGGAAUUAGCUGAGUUAUAAUAUAUAAUAAUUGUUGAUAUUGUUGUUGAUGUUGUUGAUAAGUUAUUGUUCUUGAAUUUGGGAGAAUAAAGUAUAUAAAGAUAUUGUAUACAAAGCGUAUACCGGGCUGUUUUGUGCCGAUAUUUGGGGCUAUUUUAUGUAAUUUUCGUGGCUGUUUUGUGACAAUAUUUUAGGGCUGUUUUAUGUAAUUUUCGUGGCUGUUUUGUGACAAUAUUUUGGGGCUGUUUUAUGUAAUUUUCGUGGCUGUUUUGUGACAAUAUUUUGGGGCUGUUUUAUGUAAUUUUCGUGGCUAUUUUGUGACUAUAUUUUGGAGCUGUUUGGUAUAAUAUUUGUGGCUGUUUUGCAAUGAUAUUUUGGGGACUGUUUUAUGGUUGUAUUAGACUGUUUAUGGGCUGGAAUAUCGGGGAUUGGCUAUAGUUGUUGCUGUUAUAUUAUGGAUAUACGGAAAUAAAGAAGUGUAUACAAGCAUUGGCAUCCGAAUGUAUAUUGGGCUGUUUUGGGAGCAAUUUAAGAAUGGAUUUAAUUUUAGUUUGAUAUGAAAUUGUUGGUAUUUUUAUUGAUGUUUGGCUAAGUUGGAAUUUCGAGGAUUGUUAAAUUUACAGGGGAAAUGCUGCCCGAAUUUUGUUAAGUUUCAUUCGUACUUGGAUUGGUUAGUAAGUGAUGUGGAUAAUCUAACUGUGGCCUAUGUUAUCUUAAUUUAAGACCUGCGAGCUCGAGAAGUAGACGUUGGACAUUAGAUAGAGUUCAAGGUAGACAGGGAGGUGAGCUUGGUCCAGACCCUUAGUAGUUGUCAGCUGAUUGAGAGCACUCCUUUGUCUGGAGGUGCUUAUGAUUCUUCUUUUGGUAUAUAUGCAUAUUUUGGGCACAAUGGAGUCUUGUUCCGUCUAUAUGUUUAGUAUGUCAGUAGAGGCUCGUAGAUACGCAGUGCGGGUCAGAUGGUCUCACAAGAUGUUAUUAUUAUGUAUAUAUUAUUUUGAUGGCCGAGAGGCAAAUGUAUAUAAGUAUUUAUAUUUCUAUAUAAAA